rnacentral:rRNA from 1 species
CCGGAGGAAGGUGGGGAUGAUGUCAAGUCAGCAUGGCCUUUAUAUCCUGGGCUACACACACGCUACAAUGGCCAACACAAUAGGUUGCUAAGCCGCGAGGUGGCGCCAAUCCAUAAAGUUGGUCUCAGUUCAGAUUGUAGGCUGCAACCCGCCUGCAUGAAGAUGGAGUUGCUAGUAACCGCAGGUCAGCUAUACUGCGGUGAAUACGUUCCCGGGGCUU